UAACUGGAGGAAGGUGGGGAUGACGUCAAGUCAUCAUGGCCCUUACGAGUAGGGCUACACACGUGCUACAAUGGCAUAUACAAAGAGAAGCGACCUCGCGAGAGCAAGCGGACCUCAUAAAGUAUGUCGUAGUCCGGAUUGGAGUCUGCAACUCGACUCCAUGAAGUCGGAAUCGCUAGUAAUCGUAGAUCAGAAUGCUACGGUGAAUACGUUCCCGGGCCUUGUACACACCGCCCGUCACACCAUGGGAGUGGGUUGCAAAAGAAGUAGGUAGCUUAACCUUCGGGAGGGCGCUUACCACUUUGUGAUUCAUGACUGGGGUGAAGUCGUAACAAGGUAACCGUAGGGGAACCUGCGGUUGGAUCACCUCCU
rnacentral:rRNA from 1 species